UACAGAGGUCCCGAGCGUUGUUCGGAUUCAUUGGGCGUAAAGGGUGCGUAGGCGGCGGGGCAAGUCUGAUGUGAAAUCCCGGGGCUCAACCCCGGAACUGCAUUGGAUACUGCCUUGCUCGAGUACUGGAGAGGGAACUGGAAUUUACGGUGUAGCGGUGAAAUGCGUAGAGAUCGUAAGGAAGACCAGUGGCGAAGGCGGGUCUCUGGACAGUUCCUGACACUGAGGCACGAAGGCCAGGGGAGCAAACGGG
rnacentral:rRNA from 1 species